AAGUCGAACGAAGUAGCAAUACUUAGUGGCAGACGGGUGAGUAACAUGUGGGUAUCUUCCCUUUGGCCUGGAAUAACACGAGGAAACUUGUGCUAAUACCGGAUAAGUCUUUACGGAGAAAGCUUUAUGCACCAUUGGAUGAGCCCGCACUUGAUUAGUUAGUUGGUAGGGUAAUGGCCUACCAAGACUUUGAUCAAUAGCUGAUUUGAGAGGAUGAUCAGCCACAUUGGGACUGAGACACGGCCCAAACUCCUACGGGAGGCAGCAGUGGGGAAUCUUGCACAAUGGAGGAAACUCUGAUGCAGCGAUGCCGCGUGAGUGAAGAAGGCCCUUGGGUUGUAAAGCUCUUUCGUCGGGGAAGAAAAUGACUGUACCCGAAUAAGAAGGUCCGGCUAACUUCGUGCCAGCAGCCGCGGUAAUACGAAGGGACCUAGCGUAGUUCGGAAUUACUGGGCUUAAAGAGUUCGUAGGUGGUUGAAAAAGUUGGUGGUGAAAUCCCAGAGCUUAACUCUGGAACUGCCAUCAAAACUUUUCAGCUAGAGUUUGAUAGAGGAAAGUAGAAUUUCUAGUGUAGAGGUGAAAUUCGUAGAUAUUAGAAAGAAUUCCAAUUGCGAAGGCAGCUUUCUGGAUCAUUACUGACACUGAGGAACGAAAGCAUGGGUAGCGAAGAGGAUUAGAUACCCUCGUAGUCCAUGCCGUAAACGAUGUGUGUUAGACGUUGGAAAUUUAUUUUCAGUGUCGCAGCGAAAGCAAUAAACACACCGCCUGGGGUGUACGACCGCAAGGUUAAAACUCAAAUGAAUUGACGGGGACCCGCACAAGUAGUGGAGCAUGUGGUUUAAUUCGAAGAUACGCGCAGAACCUUACCAACACUUGACAUGUUCGUCGCGACUUUAAGAGAUUGAAGUUUUCGGUUCGGCCGGACGAAACACAGGUGCUGCAUGGCUGUCGUCAGCUCGUGUCGUGAGAUGUUGGG
rnacentral:rRNA from 1 species